CUGCUCCUGGAAGAUGAAAGGUUUACCAUGCUCAGAGAGAUACAACAGAUCAGGCGUCAGCUUCUGAAGAGUCUGGAACUCCCUCGGGACCCACCACAAACCCACACAGCCAAGGCCUCUGGCAGGCACCCACACAGAUCGGCACCCACUGUCCAUGCAGCCCUGAACACGAAAAAAGGACGUCAAAGCAAUAGCAGCUCAGGGUUACCAUAUGGCCCGGUUGUGACCAGUGAAAUAUAAGCAGAAGUCGGCCAGGAAGGGGGGAGGCAUCUGGGAAAGUUUAUGACUUUCCCAAUAAAAAGUCAACAGCCCCAGCUGGUGUGAUCUCUCCCGCCUUCCUCCUGCAUGGCCCAUGUGCAUGAUGCCUCAAGGCCCAACAGCUCUCUCUCAACCAGAAGGCCAGCAAGUCAACACACCAAGAUGGCAGAGCACAAAGAUCCAAAA